AGCUGGCAGUAAAACGGCUCCGACACCAGCUCCUCCCCCAUCAGCAAUACAUCCUAGAUAAGAGGAGGAAAGGGGGGAGAUGGAAGGGGGACACAAAAAAAAAUCAUAAGAAACAUGUUGCCUAGCAACCCUUGAGUUGGAGACAUCCAGUGCUCCAGGGCUUUUGUUCCAGCCAAACACCUGAUGGUCAAUAUAAUUUAGACCCAGUGGAGGGGCGUCGGGCUGGUUCUGCCUCUAAUACGCAGCACUGAGUUUACUGCAGUCACAGCAGAUUUCGUGCUGGAGUUAUGGUGCAGCCUCACCUCCCAAGUGCCCUCAUAGUUCUGCUUCUUGAGGCGAACAGCCCAGUUAUCGAGGCAUGCGUCAAAGCAGU